rnacentral:sRNA from 1 species
AAGAAAGAUUUCAGGUCUGGUACCGUGGCUCACGCCUGUAAAUCACAGCACUUUGGGAGGCCGAGGCCGAGGGUCGCUUGAGCCCAGGAGUUUGAGAUCAGCCUGGGGCAACAUAGUGAGAUCCUGUCUCUAAAAACAAAAACAGAUGAUUCGAAUCUCAGAUAAGAAGGGCAAGUUUUUUUUUUGUUUUUUUUUUGCGGGGGUUAGUGGGGGAGUUGCGGUGGGAACGGGAAGGAAGAGUUUAGGGUUUAUAAAUGUUGAGCUUGUGAUAUGUCAUGCUUGGUAGCAGCUAGAUUUUUGAAUAUGGAGUUUAAUAAACUUGGGUGUCUUCAGCCCAUAGGUGGUAAUUUGUAGGGAAGAAAGGUCGGAUUAUAGUUAGAGUAUAGAAACAUGAAGGGAGGGUGGAGAAGGAGAAUGUGUUUAAAGAAUAGUCCGGAUGAGAACGGAAACCAGUGUGGUGCCACUGAAACCGAAUUGGUAAUGACUUGUAAGGAAGGAAUAGUCAGCAGUGUUGCACUUCUUUUACAGAUUAUGUGAGAAAAUGGCCAUUUCUAUCAUCUGCUUCUAUGAAAUGUGUUCUCCAGUGUAUGGAUAUUAAAUGUUACAGUUUGAUGAGUUUGGACAAACCCAUGUACUGUAUAACCACACCUCCCUCAAUAUGCAAGAUGUUACAUCAUCCCAGGAAGUUCCCUUGUACCCUCUGUCAAUCCCUGCCACCUUCCUAUUCUGACUUUUAUCGUCAUAAAUAGAUAGUUUUGCCUUUUUUUGAACUUCAUGUAAAUGGAACCAGCUCUGACCCAGGCUGGAGUGCAAUGGCACAGUCACAGUUCACUGUAGACUUUCACUCCUGAGCUCAAGUAAUCGUCCUGCUUUUGCCUCUGAAAAUGCUGGAAUUACAGAUGUGAGCCACCGUGUGUGGCUGCUCAAAAAAUAUUUUUGAGGGAUUAAAGCCUGUGGUUUCCACAGAAGCACCACCUAUCAUAUUUGCCACACCAACUAAACUGACCUCCGAUUCCACAGUGUAUGAUUAUGCUGGGAAAAACAAAGUUCCAGAGCUACAAAAGUUUUUCCAGAAAGCUGAUGGUGUGCCCGUCUACCUGAAACGAGGCCUGCCUGACCAAAUGCUUUACCGGACCACCAUGGCGCUGACUGUGGGAGGGACCAUCUACUGCCUGAUCGCCCUCUACAUGGCUUCGCAGCCCAAAAACAAAUGAGUUAGGCUGCAGAGGACUGGUUUGUUUUUUGGCAUAAACCCUUUGAAGUUCCUUUUUCAUUGUUAAAUUAAAAAUUUUUUUUUACUUGGAUGGCUUAACAUUUUUGCAAGAAAAAAUAGGAAGAUAUGAAGAUGAUGUUUUGGUUUGUUUAUGAAAUGCAUAUGGCUUGUCAGAGCUCAUUUGACAGUUAAAGCCAUUGUUUAAAGAAAUGGUGCUUUGCUCUGUGUUUGUGCUCCUGAUUUCCCUGGAGGUUCUGGAUGAAGGCUGAACCCAGGCUUGUUAAUGUCAGUCUGUGCUGAGGACCUCAGGGACUUGAGGUUGCAUUUUUGAGCAUGGGGUGCAGAAGCCUUUCUGGAUUUGGAUGUGGCUAUGGAAAGAACACAGAAGCCAAGGUCAUGUGCAUGAAAUGAGGAGUUUGAGUUAGUCAUCUCGCAGAUUUUUUCCAUUUUGCAGUAAAAUGUUAAAUUAAUGUAGCCUGCCUCUAUUUGUUGGGCAGGUAAUUUCAAAGGGUUAUUUGCCUCAUCUCCUAUCUUUAGUGAAAUCUUAUGUGUAAUUGUGUGUAUUUAUUCCACCGUGGGAACAGAGAACACCUGUUUAGUGUUGCACUUUAGACUGGUGUCUGUUUUGUUAAUGCAGCUGUGCCACAAAUUCUCCUUUAUCUUUUAAAAAUGUUAUAGCUUUAAAUUUUGAUUUAUUUUGACUGUGGAAUAAAUACAUGAAUG